GAUGAAGAACGCAGCGAAAUGCGAUAAGUAAUGUGAAUUGCAGAAUUCAGUGAAUCAUCGAAUCUUUGAACGCACAUUGCGCCCGCCAGUAUUCUGGCGGGCAUGCCUGUUCGAGCGUCAUUUCAACCCUCAGGGCCCUUUUGGACCUGGCGUUGGGCUCGGCCGCUACCCUGCGGCCGUCCCCGAAAGAUAGUGGCGGUCUCGCUGUAGCCUCCUCUGCGUAGUAGUUACAUCUCGCACUGGAACGCGGCGCGGCCAUGCCGUUAAACACCCCACUUCUCAAGGUUGACCUCGGAUCAGGUAGGAAUACCCGCUGAACUUAAGCAUAUCAAUAAGCGGAGGA
rnacentral:misc_RNA from 1 species